rnacentral:rRNA from 1 species
GUGGAUUAGAUACCCUGGUAGUCCACGCCGUAAACGAUGGAUACUAGCUGUUGGUGGCAACAUCAGUGGCUAAGCGAAAGUGAUAAGUAUCCCACCUGGGGAGUACGAACGCAAGUUUGAAACUCAAAGGAAUUGACGGGGGCCCGCACAAGCGGUGGAGCAUGUGGUUUAAUUCGAUGAUACGCGAGGAACCUUACCAAGGCUUAAAUGCAGACUGACCGAUUUGGAAACAGAUCUUUCGCAAGACAGUUUACAAGGUGCUGCACGGUCGUCGCCAGCU